CUUAUAGUGGGGGAGUAGCCUUUCGAAAGGAAGAUUAAUACCGCAUAAGAUUGUAGUAUCGCAUGAUAUAGCAAUUAAAGGAGCAAUUCGCUAUAAGAUGGACCCGCGUCGCAUUAGCUAGUUGGUGAGGUAAUGGCUCACCAAGGCGACGAUGCGUAGCCGACCUGAGAGGGUGAUCGGCCACAUUGGGACUGAGACACGGCCCAGACUCCUACGGGAGGCAGCAUG
rnacentral:rRNA from 1 species